GGACGGUCGAGAUCAAGCAUGAUGAAUGACCCAGACUAAUGCAAGACGGGUACAAAUAUUUCGCAUCACACUGAACCCGAACCCUAACUGCCAGACUUCCGUCGGAGAAGAAGAACUAGUCACUGGAUAAGGGAGUCGACCGUUGCCCACCGCAAUGCGGAGCCACCUUUGACCACCAAAAAAGGUAAAAAUUCUACUAUCCGCUUAGAAUUUGAUUUCGAGC
rnacentral:lncRNA from 1 species